rnacentral:rRNA from 1 species
GAUGAACGCUGGCGGCGUGCCUAAUACAUGCAAGUCGAGCGAACAGAUGAGGAGCUUGCUCCUCUGACGUUAGCGGCGGACGGGUGAGUAACACGUGGAUAACCUACCUAUAAGACUGGGAUAACUUCGGGAAACCGGAGCUAAUACCGGAUAAUAUAUUGAACCGCAUGGUUCAAUAGUGAAAGACGGUUUUGCUGUCACUUAUAGAUGGAUCCGCGCCGCAUUAGCUAGUUGGUAAGGUAACGGCUUACCAAGGCAACGAUGCGUAGCCGACCUGAGAGGGUGAUCGGCCACACUGGAACUGAGACACGGUCCAGACUCCUACGGGAGGCAGCAGUAGGGAAUAUUCCGCAAUGGGCGAAAGCCUGACGGAGCAACGCCGCGUGAGUGAUGAAGGUCUUCGGAUCGUAAAACUCUGUUAUUAGGGAAGAACAAAUGUGUAAGUAACUAUGCACGUCUUGACGGUACCUAAUCAGAAAGCCACGGCUAACUACGUG